UUCCAAACAAACGGAGGGGAAAGGGAAGAACGAGCCCCAAGAGCCCCUGGGAGCCUCACGCUGCAACUGAGGUGACAGGUGAAGCGAAUUAGUACUUCUGACUGUCCACAAACACACCUCACCCUGAGAGGAUGCAUGCUUAAAGCACUCCAGCUGGCCCAUGUGGACAGCGGGCAAGGACUGAAUGAUCUGUCUGCGGUGGAUAUGGUGCUACAAGGGAUUUUCCCAGAUGCUACACACCAUGGCCAGCAAGGCCCGCCCUGCUGCACGAUGCCAUUGUGUCUGUGAGACUGAGUGCCUGUGGAGUCAGAGUCGGAGUCUGAGUUGGUGUGGACUUCUCUCAUAACGGGUGAGAUGUGGCCAGUUUCCCAGCAGGCUGUGAGUACCCGGUCCUGGGUUAAAGUCCCAGCCCCUGCACUGGGUGGGGCAGCUCCUUGCUCCAGUUGACCCAAGACCUGUCUGGAAGAAGAAGAAGCAGUGCUUCCACCCAAAAGUGAAGAAAGUGAGCCCAGAGAUCUCAAAUGGCUUAUGGAAACACAUACAGAACAGGAAACAGACCUGGAGAUUGGUACCUUUCACUGUAACCUUCACUGCAUGUUUCAUCCACGCCAUUUUCCAAAUGUGUGCUCUGCAUGCUGCAUUUGCUGCUCUGGUGUCUGGGUCCACUAGACAGAUGUCACGGCCAGGAUCUUUGAGGAUUUAGGUUUAGAUCUUCUCAGGUGCUAGCAUAGCACUAGCUCUGCAGUUGGUGUGCAGUUAACACUUGUUGAAUGGAUUGGUGGUGAAACGUAGUGAUCCUCUACCACAGUGGUUCCCAGCCUUGGCUUUGGGUUAGAUCAUCUCAGAAGACUUUUAGAAAACUUCAAUGCCCGGGACCCACUUUACACUACAUCUAAAUACCUGAGGCAGAACUGACUUUGCACUUCUUAAAGUUUUAAAAAUGAGCCUAACAUGCAGCUUGGGAUUGAAUACACAGAUGUAACCAAAAACCUCUCACUUUCUAGAUAUGAAAUGCAGGAAAAUGAACGGGGGGGGUGUGUGAACCAAUCAGAGUUUAACAUAAACAGUGCCGUGGGGA